UACAGGGGGUGCAAGCGUUACUCGGAAUUAUUGGGCGUAAAGAGCGCGUAGGCGGCUUGGUAAGUCUAAUGUGAAAGCCCCGGACUCAAUUCGGGAAGUGCAUUGGAUACUGCUGAGCUGGAGUACUGGAGAGGAGAGUGGAAUUCCAGGUGUAGAGGUGAAAUUCGUAGAUAUUCGGAGGAACACCAGUGGCGAAGGCGGCUCACUGGCUCGACACUGACGCUGAGGUGCGAAAGCGUGGGGAGCAAACAGG
rnacentral:rRNA from 1 species